CAGUCGCCGCGGGAAUACGUAUGUCACAAGCGUUAUCCGGAUUUAUUGGGCGUAAAGCGCGUCUAGGUGGUUAUGUAGGUCUGAUGUGAAAAUGCAGGGCUCAACUCUGUAUUGCGUUGGAAACUGUGUAACUAGAGUACUGGAGAGGUAAGCGGAACUACAAGUGUAGAGGUGAAAUUCGUAGAUAUUUGUAGGAAUGCCGAUGGGGAAGCCAGCUUACUGGACAGAUACUGACGCUGAAGCGCGAAAGCGUGGGUAGCAAACAGGAUUAGAUACCCCCGUAGUCCCUGUCUCUUAUACA
rnacentral:rRNA from 1 species